UCAUGUCCAAUCACAGCGGUCCAAGUUCUAUAUAAAGAGUAAGUCUAACCCACUUCUUUGCCGUUACAGCUAUUCGGUUCGCCCACCUCCUCCCCUCCACCACCUUCGGCUCCCCGUCCUGGUCCGAGGGGUUUGGCUCCUUCGCCUCCUGCCUGGUCGCCCAGCCAGAUCUGUCGGCUUCAGAGUUGGUAGAACCAACGACCAGGAGACGGGCUUCACCAAAUCACUCUUCUCAGACUCAUUUAAAAUGUUUAACCAAAUAAACAGUCAUGCCAACUACCUAAGGUCUCCUUGGUUGAAAUACAUGUGAUAUGGCUCUGCUGGCUGGAUUCUGACAGUUAUUCGAUUUUCAUGCUUUUUCUCAUUUGAAUCCUCCCUUCACCUGCCUGUCGGCGGUAUACUAGAGAGGAGUACAGGGAGAAAAGAAUCUCGUGGCCCCACUCUUCCUGGAAGCCAGGGUCUGAGCCACAGAGCACAGCUUUUAAACACUAUAUUCCUGUGAGUCAUCUCUACCACUGUCUGAGGGCCCGUAUGGUGUUAUGUAUGAGGCUGUAUGCCAAGGCACAGGACCAAUGCUGGAUGGGCAUCAAAAGAAGAGAUGCAGUGUAAUCCACCCAAUGGAAGUAUGUAAGGCGCAUAGCUGAGCUACCAGGAGAGGCACUGGACCCCCGCUGCCCGUCUUUGUGGGGCUGCAUGUUCCUGAGUCCGCAGGCAGCUUGCAAUCGCCAGUGACUGAACCCUGUGUAUCGACUGUCUGGGUUCAUGCCCGGGUCAUAAAAUGGACCGUGGAAUGCAGAAGAAGUAAAACUGUCAGCGUGCUACACUGGAUAAGGACGCCUGCUAGUCAGACCGAUAAGAUCACAUGCAAGGUCGAAAGGGAAUGCUU